rnacentral:rRNA from 1 species
CCUACGGGAUGCAGCAGUGCGGAAUAUUGGUCAAUGGGCGCAAGCCUGAACCAGCCAAGUCGCGUGAGGGAUGACGGUCCUAUGGAUUGUAAACCUCUUUUGUCGGGGAGCAAGGCCCGCCACGUGUGGCGGGUAGGAGAGUACCCGAAGAAAAAGCACCGGCUCACUCCGUGCCAGCAGCCGUGUAAUUACGGAGGAUGCGAGCGUUAUCCGGAUUUAUUGGGUUUAAAGGGUGCGUAGGAGGAAGGAUAAGUCAGCGGUAAAAUGUCGGGGCUCAACACCUACCUGCCGUUGAAACUGGUCUUCUUGAGUGAGCGAGAAGUAUGCGGAAUGCGUGGUGUAGCGGUGAAAUGCAUAGAUAUCACGCAGAACUCCGAUUGCGAAGGCAGCAUACCGGCGCUCAACUGACGCUGAGGCACGAAAGCGUGGGGAUCGAACAGGAUUAGAUACCCGAGUAGUC